rnacentral:rRNA from 1 species
GACGAACGCUGGCGGUGUGCUUAAUACAUGCAAGUCGAGCGAAGAGGCCCUUUCGGGGGUACGUUCAGCGGCGGACGGCUGAGUAAUGCAUAGGUAACGUGCCCUUUACUGGGGAGUAACACCGGGAAACUGGUGCUAAUACCGCAUAAGUGCCAAGCUGAAAUGCUUGUCAUUAAAGAAUUUCGGUAAAGGAUCGGCCUGUGUCGGAUUAGCUUGUUGGUGGGGUAAUGGCCUACCAAGGCGACGAUCCGUAGUUGGUCUGAGAGGAUGACCAGCCAGAGUGGGACUGAGACACGGCCCACACUCCUACGGGAGGCAGCAGUAGGGAAUAUUGCGCAAUGGGCGAAAGCCUGACGCAGCAACACCGCGUGUAGGAUGAAGGUUUUCGGUAUACGUAAACUAACUGUCGACGAGGGAAUAAUAAUGACUGUACCUGCAAAGGAAG